AUCCUUAGGGUGGUGCACUUCUAUUGAAUACUAAGGCAGAGAGACUAGAGGACACACACACAUGUGUUCCCUGUCUCUUGGCAUUGUAAUGCCCACGUGCCAUCUCUGGACUCUGCCAGUAAGAAGACCAACACCAGAUGCUGUCUCUUGCCUUUUGAACAGAAAUGAGCAGAAAGACCAAAGGAGCAGCACAAAAGGCCAAACAAGAGAGGGAAGCCUGGGAGCAGGAUUCAGAGCAAGACUCCUUCACAGAAGGAGGAGACUGGCAUUCGAACUUCAAUAGCAGCAAUCUAAGCAGGAAGAAGGCAUGGAUGGGAAGCAAAUUGAGUAGAUGCUGGAAGCUGGACUGAGUGGCAGCCUGAGCCAGAGAUGCACAGACACCACGUGAACAGCUCCUGAUGGGGACUGGGG
ensembl:lncRNA